rnacentral:rRNA from 1 species
CCUACGGGGUGCAGCAGUGGGGAAUAUUGGACAAUGGGCGAAAGCCUGAUCCAGCCAUGCCGCGUGUGUGAAGAAGGCCUUCGGGUUGUAUAGCACUUUCAGUGGGGAAGAAAGCCUUGGGGCUAAUACCCUCGAGGAAGGACAUCACCCACAGAAGAAGCACCGGCUAACUCCGUGCCAGCAGCCGCGGUAAUACGGAGGGUGCGAGCGUUAAUCGGAAUUACUGGGCGUAAAGCGCGCGUAGGCGGUCUGAUAAGCCGGUUGUGAAAGCCCCGGGCUCAACCUGGGAACGGCAUCCGGAACUGUCAGGCUAGAGUGCAGGAGAGGAAGGUAGAAUUCCCGGUGUAGCAGUGAAAUGCGUAGAGAUCGGGAGGAAUACCAGUGGCGAAGGCGGCCUUCUGGACUGACACUGACGCUGAGGUGCGAAAGCGUGGGUAGCAAACAGGAUUAGAUACCCUAGUAGUC